rnacentral:tRNA from 2 species
GCUGCCGUAGCUCAGUCGGUAGAGCGUACCCUUGGUAAGGGUAAGGUCGAAGGUUCGAUUCCUUUCGGCAGCACCA